AUGCACGCUAGCUACAGGCUUCACACAUGCAAGUCGAGGGGCAGCAUGACCUAGCAAUAGGUUGAUGGCGACCGGCGCACGGGUGAGUAACACGUAUCCAACCUGCCGAUUAUUCCGGGAUAGCCUUUCGAAAGAAAGAUUAAUACUGGAUAGCAUAACGAGAAGGCAUCUUCUUGUUAUUAAAGAAUUUCGAUAAUCGAUGGGGAUGCGUUCCAUUAGUUUGUUGGCGGGGUAACGGCCCACCAAGACAUCGAUGGAUAGGGGUUCUGAGAGGAAGGUCCCCCACAUUGGAACUGAGACACGGUCCAAACUCCUACGGGAGGCAGCAGUGAGGAAGAUUGGUCAAUGGACGAGAGUCUGAACCAGCCAAGUAGCGUGAAGGAUGACUGCCCUAUGGGUUGUAAACUUCUUUUAUAUGGGAAUAAAGUGGGCCACGUGUGGCUUUUUGUAUGUACCAUACGAAUAAGGAUCGGCUAACUCCGUG
rnacentral:rRNA from 1 species